rnacentral:lncRNA from 1 species
AUAAUUUGUCAAGUAAUUUUAAUGAAUUUUCUUUCUGUUGUCAAAGUUUCUUAAAAUAUUUAAUAUAGAUUUUAUUAUAAAUUGCUUUUUUUUCUGAUAAAUCUCAACAUUUUCCACAAACACACUUAAAUAUAUUACAUUUCAUCUUGAACCUGUGGUUAUGAUUGAAAAACCUAUAUACUUGAUCUGCUGAAUGAAAGAUAAUUAAAAUAACAAAAGUUUUAUUCUCAGGACAUCAUGACAAUCAAAGACUUACUUGUGACAAUUUGUUUUUAUACAGCCGCAAAAAAAAAUUUUUGUGGUCGUAUAUUGGUAUGACGUUGGCGUCGUUGUUGUCGUCCGAAGACAUUUGGUUUUUUCGCACUAUAACUUUAAUAUGAAACUUAAACACAAGGUUUAUGACCACAAAAGGAAGGUUGGGAUUGAUUUUGGGAAUUAUGGUCCCAACAGUUCAGGAAUUAGGGGCCAAAAAAGGGCCCAAUAAGCAUUUUUCUUGGUUUUCGCACAAUAACUUUAGUGUAAGUAAAUAGAAAUCUAUGAAAUUUUAACACAAGAUUUAUGACCACAAAAGGAAGGUUGGGAUUGAUUUUGGGAGUUUUGUUCCAACAGUUUAGGAAUUGGGGGCCAAAAAAGGACCCAAAUAAGCAUUUUUCUUGGUUUUUCC